rnacentral:rRNA from 1 species
UCAGGCCUAACACAUGCAAGUCGAGCGGUAGAGAUUCUUCGGAAUCUUGAGAGCGGCGUACGGGUGCGGAACACGUGUGCAACCUACCUUUAUCUGGGGGAUAGCCUUUCGAAAGGAAGAUUAAUACCCCAUAAUAUAUUGAUUGGCAUCAAUCGAUAUUGAAAACUCCGGUGGAUAGAGAUGGGCACGCGCAAGAUUAGCUAGUUGGUGAGGUAACGGCUCACCAAGGCAAUGAUCUUUAGGGGGCCUGAGAGGGUGAUCCCCCACACUGGUACUGAGACACGGACCAGACUCCUACGGGAGGCAGCAGUGAGGAAUAUUGGACAAUGGGUGCAAGCCUGAUCCAGCCAUCCCGCGUGAAGGACGACUGCCCUAUGGGUUGUAAACUUCUUUUGUACAGGGAUAAACCUACCCUCGUGAGG